rnacentral:rRNA from 1 species
GAUUAACGCUGGCGGCGUGCAUAACACAUGCAAGUCGAACGAUGAAACUUUACUGACUUCUUCGGAAUGAUUUAAAGCGGAUUAGUGGCGAACGGGUGAGUAACGCGUGAGUAACCUGCCUUACACAAGGGGAUAGCCUCUGGAAACGGAGAAUAAUACCCUAUGAAACCAGACAAUCGCAUGAUAAUCUGGUCAAAAUGUUUAGUGGUGUAAGAUGGACUUGCGUCUGAUUAGCUAGUUGGUGAGAUAAAAGCUCACCAAGGCAACGAUCAGUAGCCGGCUUGAGAGAGUGUACGGCCACAUUGGGACUGAGACACGGCCCAGACUCCGACGGGAGGCAGCAGUGGGGAAUUUUGCACAAUGGGGGAAACCCUGAUGCAGCGACGCCGCGUGAUUUAGAAGGCCUUCGGGUUGUAAAAAUCUUUUGUAUAGGAAGAAAAUGACAGUACUAUACGAAUAAGGUCCGGCUAAUUACGUG